rnacentral:tRNA from 1 species
AAACAAAUAGCAUAAAAUUAUGCAUUACGGUUUCGGCCCGUAAAGCGGAGCAUCUCCUUUGUUUU